rnacentral:rRNA from 1 species
UACGGGGGGGGCAAGCGUUGUUCGGAAUUACUGGGCGUAAAGGGCUCGUAGGCGGCCAACUAAGUCCGACGUGAAAUCCCCAGGCUUAACCUGGGAACUGCGUCGGAUACUGGAUGGCUUGAAUCCGGGAGAGGGAUGCGGAAUUCCAGGUGUAGCGGUGAAAUGCGCAGAUAUCAGGAGGAACACCGGUGGCGAAGGCGGUUCUCUGGGCAUUACCUGACGCUGAGGAGCGAAAGUGUGGGGAGCGAACAGG